UCGAGAAUCAUUCACAAUGGGGGAAACCCUGAUGGUGCGACGCCGCGUGGGGGAAUGAAGGUCUUCGGAUUGUAAACCCCUGUCAUGUGGGAGCAAAUUAAAAAGAUAGUACCACAAGAGGAAGAGACGGCUAACUCUGUGCCAGCAGCCGCGGUAAUACAGAGGUCUCAAGCGUUGUUCGGAAUCACUGGGCGUAAAGCGUGCGUAGGCUGUUUCGUAAGUCGUGUGUGAAAGGCGCGGGCUCAACCCGCGGACGGCACAUGAUACUGCGAGACUAGAGUAAUGGAGGGGGAACCGGAAUUCUCGGUGUAGCAGUGAAAUGCGUAGAUAUCGAGAGGAACACUCGUGGCGAAGGCGGGUUCCUGGAC
rnacentral:rRNA from 1 species